rnacentral:rRNA from 1 species
AGUGAACGCUGGCGGUAGGCCUAACACAUGCAAGUCGAACGGCAGCACAGUAAGAGCUUGCUCUUACGGGUGGCGAGUGGCGGACGGGUGAGGAAUACAUCGGAAUCUACUUUUUCGUGGGGGAUAACGUAGGGAAACUUACGCUACUACCUCAUAUGACCUACGGGUGAAAGCAGUGGAUCUUCGGACCUUGCGCGAUUGUAUUAGCCGAUGUCGGAUUAGCUAGUUGGCGGGGUAAAGGCCCACCAAGGCGACGAUCCGGAGCUGGUCUGAGAGGAUGAUCAGCCAAAAUGGAAAUGGGACACGGUCCAAACUCCUACGGGAGGCAGCAGUGGGGAAUAUUGGACAAUGGGCGCAAGCCUGAUCCAGCCAUACCGCGUGGGUGAAGAAGGCCUUCGGGUUGUAAAGCCCUUUUGUUGGGAAAGAAAAGCAGCAGGUUAAUACCCCGCUGUUCUGAAGGUAACCAAAGAAUAAGCACCGGCUAACUUCGUG